UAGCCAGACUCCUACGGGAGGCAGCAGUGGGGGAUAUUGCACAAUGGGGGAAACCCUGAUGCAGCGACGCCGCGUGAGUGAAGAAGUCUUUCGGUAUGUAAAGCUCUAUCAGCAGGGAAGAAAAUGACAGUACCUGACCAAGAAGCCCCGGCUAACUACGUGCCAGCAGCCGCGGUAAUACGUAGGGGGCAAGCGUUAUCCGGAUUUACUGGGUGUAAAGGGAGCGUAGACGGUUAUGUAAGUCUGGAGUGAAAGCCCGGGGCCCAACCCCGGGACUGCUUUGGAAACUGUGUAACUGGAGUACAGGAGGGGCAGGCGGAAUUCCUGGUGUAGCGGUGAAAUGCGUAGAUAUCAGGAGGAACACCGGCGGCGAAGGCGGCUUACUGGACCAUAACUGACGUUGAGGCUCGAAAGCGUGGGGAGCGAACAGGAUUAGAUACCCCAGUA
rnacentral:rRNA from 1 species